UCCACCUUCAUAAAUGCAAUUUUAGAGCAUUUCUGAGAUAUUCUGGUGCAGUGAAAAGAAGAGGAGAUUGCAGCUGGAGAGAAGGAAAUCCCAGAGGGAUGUCACCCUUGAGGGACAGCGAUCUCUGCUCUCCACCAGCUGCCAGCACUGCUGAUCCGCAUGGACUGGGCCGGGCAAUAGCUUGUUCUUCAUACAAGUCAGAAGAGCAGGGAAACCUUAUCGUCAGUGAAGAAGCAUGGUUUACUCUCCUGCUUUUGCUUGGCUGGCCAACAGGUGAAUUCAGAGUGAACAGAUCAGCUCAGGAAUAAGAAGGACCUAAAGUGAGCAAAAUAAAGAUAUGUCCUCCAGCACCUGCACAUUCUGCUGGAAACCAUUCGGAUGGCAGCUUGGGCCCUUCAACUCAGCAGGAGCAUAAAACCGGCCAUCACCAGUGGAGAACUGCUUUUCCUCAUGAGGAAUCUGCUGCAUAAAGACCAAGGUUUGUACCUGAUGAGAAAGGAAAGACCCAAGAGAUGGCAAAGACCUCCUUCUGUUUCUUCUGCCUGGUUUUUUGGUCUUGUUUGAAAGAAGAUUUCUUGGGCAGAUGUUAUUUGUUUUGCAGCCAUGUUCUUAAAACAUACAAGAAAUACACAAUGAAGACCAGCAGUGGAAAAAAAAGAAUACAGAAUGCACUUGAAUAUACAACUUAUUAUUUUUAAAUGCUUUUCCAAAAGGGUUGUGCUUUUAAUAAUAGUCUGCUUUUGUAAAGCAUCUCUCAGAUGCGGACUUCAAAAACGUGGUAGACAAAUUGUCUCAACAUGUCUUUGGGAUAGGUAAGUACUAUUAAUCCCUUCUUAGAGAGGAAAAAAGCUGAACAUCAGAGAGCCGAGAACACUGUUUUCCAGCUUUGGUGUUACAAAAGGACUGUCAGUGCUAAGAGUAUUGUAUUAAAUUCCGGUCCCUAAGUCCAAUUUCGUCUUUUGCCUUUCCAGCAUGAGGUUUGGUAUAACUUCGUCUUUUCUGGUCCUGGGCUAUAAAAUGGGCUAAGGAAAGAAUGGGUGUGAGAUAUGGCUGGUCUUUCCAAAGAUGUACAACAUGUAUCUGAAGUUAUUUGUAAGCUCCUACGUUAAACAUUGUAUAAAUAUGUCAGAAUGUAUGCAGCCUUUCUUAAAGUUCCUCACUACCACCAUGUUUCUUGUUUAAGUUUACAGAGUAUGGGCAAACUUCCCAAGAACAUAUGGGCUAUUAAUGUUAGCAGGGUUUUUAAGUAUCACAGGCGUACUAGAUAUUGAUUGCUGGGCACGUUCAGCCAGCACAUUCAUCCGGGUUUUCCAACAGAUAAUUUAGAAACACAAGGGACUAAUAUAAAGUUAAGUGCAUGAUGAAGAGAAACCACAGCAGUCUAUGGAGGCUAAAGGUCUAAAAGCAAUUUUCAGUCGUGCUAAAUCUUAGUCCUUAUCUAAAAUUGCCUAUAUUAAUAAUUAUUUUAUUUGCCCACACUUCACUCUUCUGUAGAGAUGAACAGAGAAGCUGGGCAACAGGACACAGUAGUUUUGAAGUGUUCAUUCUCCAAUUCUGGAUGUCUGCAAAAGAAACUCAACGUAUUGCAAGCUAGUGGAAGGAGUUGCCUUGUCUUCAGGAGCUGUCAAAGAAGCUCUUAUGGAGGCAAAGAAAGGAUAAGUUGAUUUUGAGUGUGUAGUCUCUUCUAUGACUAGUUUAGGUCUCUAGCACUUUUUAGGAGCUGUGUAGUUCCUUCCACAGUAUGCUACAGCAAAGGCACCAGAAAUAUGAAGGCAAUCCAUUAGCUCAUUAAUACCACCAGGAGAAAAAAAAGAAUUAGCAAACUCUGUGAUGGGCAGCCACAGCCAAACCAAAUACCACCUCUGUGGAAUUAGAUGUGCUGCAAACACCAACAGCCUGUGAUAAUAUGACCUUUAAAAAAAUAUGUUUUCAUAAAUGGAAAAAUGAACUAAAGAGGCUGCUGGUGAAACUUUCAAGAAACGCAACUGCUCAAUUAUACAUUAACAUCGCACAAGCUUUGCCAGACAAGACAGGAGGCAAUGCUGAUUGGGGCUACGCAUUUUCCUUUUUAUAUAAACCUGUAGAAAAGCUAGUAGCCGUGGGGAAUGCCCACUGUAGGACACAAUAAAUUGAUAUUUCUGGUGCUUGUCAAAAUUGCUUUUUACAGUAUUACAUUGUCUUUGGUGCGAGCCCCAACUGUUAGAAGCCGGUCCAGUUGCAGCGCCAGUGUUUACCACCACAGGGUGCAGGAACGAGUGGAAAAGCCCAACAAGGGAAAUGGAGCUGUGCCUAUGGAAAAUAGGCAGCAGGAGGGGAGAGAAGACCACCAGCCUUUGCUGUGGAGAGUGUUAUAUUAUCUUGACUCGACAUGUUGAUGUUAAGAGGCUGAAAUCCCUCCUGCUGCAGCUUGCCUCUGUGUUAUCUUUCACUGGAUCACUUCUUUCACCCUGUGGGCUGUGAGGCUGCAGGAAUACUUGAGUUGACACCAGCAAAAGGGUGGGUGAAAGGCAGGAAUGUGUGGUGGCCACUGGGCUGGGGAGGGGACCAUUGGUGCAUCCUGGCUUAAAAUCUCUCUGAAAUCCUGGCCUCACUGUGAGUGUUUCUUCCUGAAGCAUCUCCUUGUUUGCAGCCAAAUAUUUGGUGUGUGUCCAUCAAUGGAGAUACUUGAUGCAAUUGUCUAAAUGAGUUAGAUGUGUGUAAUCCCUGACUGGCUCUUGACCGAGAGCAGAUGUGACAGUGAUUAGCCACUUUGGGACAGCUUCUUCUCUAG